GUGCUCACUUCAGCAGCACCUACACUAAAGUUAGAACAAUGCAGCAAAGGUUAGCAUGGCCCCUGCGCAAGCAGGAUAACAUGCAAAUUCAUGAAGUAGUCUUUAUUUUU